ACCUUCCCAGAGGUAAGUCGCUCUGGAUAAGAGCGUCUGCUAAAUGACUUAAA
rfam:Salmo salar isolate Sally breed double haploid chromosome ssa10, whole genome shotgun sequence.